rnacentral:lncRNA from 1 species
GGAUUAUAGGCAUGCACCACCAUGCCUGGCCUCUGUCACUUUAUAUCUGUGUGAAUUUGAGUACGGCACUUACUUUUACUCUGUGCCUCACUUUCUUUACUUAUGAACCCAGAGGAAAAAUGGAACUUUCUCCUUAUGAACAUUUCAUGACUUAGUAUACGUAAAUUGAAGCAGAAUAAGGCCUUUCUAAGUGUCUUUAUUGGCAAUAAACAAGUGACACUUAUCACAGGAAUUAAAUAGAAAAAAAUAGAUAGCUCCAACAAUAUCUAUAUUUAUUUCACAAUAACAUUGAUCAUAUGUGAAGUCAAAUGAGACUAAAUAAAUAGAUAGCAAAAGGAGGGAUUAUAUAUCCC